GCCGAAAUGGUGGAAUCGGUAGACACAAGAGACUUAAAAUCUCUUGCCCAAUAGGGCGUGCGGGUUCAAGUCCCGCUUUCGGCA
rnacentral:tRNA from 1 species